rnacentral:rRNA from 1 species
GGGUUGUGAGGUUAAGCGACUAAGCGUACACGGUGGAUGCCCUGGCAGUCAGAGGCGAUGAAGGACGUGCUAAUCUGCGAUAAGCGUCGGUGAGGUGAUAUGAACCGUUAUAACCGGCGAUUUCCGAAUGGGGAAACCCAGUGUGUUUCGACACACUAUCAUUAACUGAAUCCAUAGGUUAAUGAGGCGAACCGGGGGAACUGAAACAUCUAAGUACCCCGAGGAAAAGAAAUCAACCGAGAUUCCCCCAGUAGCGGCGAGCGAACGGGGAGGAGCCCAGAGCCUGAAUCAGUGUGUGUGUUAGUGGAAGCGUCUGGAAAGGCGUGCGAUACAGGGUGACAGCCCCGUACACAAAAAUGCACAUAUUGUGAGCUCGAUGAGUAGGGCGGGACACGUGGUAUCCUGUCUGAAUAUGGGGGGACCAUCCUCCAAGGCUAAAUACUCCUGACUGACCGAUAGUGAACCAGUACCGUGAGGGAAAGGCGAAAAGAACCCCGGCGAGGGGAGUGAAAAAGAACCUGAAACCGUGUACGUACAAGCAGUGGGAGCCUCUUAAUGGGGUGACUGCGUACCUUUUGUAUAAUGGGUCAGCGACUUAUAUUCUGUAGCAAGGUUAACCGAAUAGGGGAGCCGAAGGGAAACCGAGUCUUAACUGGGCGUUAAGUUGCAGGGUAUAGACCCGAAACCCGGUGAUCUAGCCAUGGGCAGGUUGAAGGUUGGGUAACACUAACUGGAGGACCGAACCGACUAAUGUUGAAAAAUUAGCGGAUGACUUGUGGCUGGGGGUGAAAGGCCAAUCAAACCGGGAGAUAGCUGGUUCUCCCCGAAAGCUAUUUAGGUAGCGCCUCGUGAAUUCAUCUCCGGGGGUAGAGCACUGUUUCGGCAAGGGGGUCAUCCCGACUUACCAACCCGAUGCAAACUGCGAAUACCGGAGAAUGUUAUCACGGGAGACACACGGCGGGUGCUAACGUCCGUCGUGAAGAGGGAAACAACCCAGACCGCCAGCUAAGGUCCCAAAGUCAUGGUUAAGUGGGAAACGAUGUGGGAAGGCCCAGACAGCCAGGAUGUUGGCUUAGAAGCAGCCAUCAUUUAAAGAAAGCGUAAUAGCUCACUGGUCGAGUCGGCCUGCGCGGAAGAUGUAACGGGGCUAAACCAUGCACCGAAGCUGCGGCAGCGACACUAUGUGUUGUUGGGUAGGGGAGCGUUCUGUAAGCCUGUGAAGGUGGCCUGUGAGGGUUGCUGGAGGUAUCAGAAGUGCGAAUGCUGACAUAAGUAACGAUAAAGCGGGUGAAAAGCCCGCUCGCCGGAAGACCAAG